GAUGAACGCUGGCGGCGUGCCUAAUACAUGCAAGUCGAGCGAACAGACGAGGAGCUUGCUCCUCUGACGUUAGCGGCGGACGGGUGAGUAACACGUGGAUAACCUACCUAUAAGACUGGGAUAACUUCGGGAAACCGGAGCUAAUACCGGAUAAUAUAUUGAACCGCAUGGUUCAAUAGUGAAAGACGGUUUUGCUGUCACUUAUAGAUGGAUCCGCGCCGCAUUAGCUAGUUGGUAAGGUAACGGCUUACCAAGGCAACGAUGCGUAGCCGACCUGAGAGGGGGAUCGGCCACACUGGUACUGAGACACGGUCCAGACUCCUACGGGAGGCAGCAGUAGGGAAUCUUCCGCAAUGGGCGAAAGCCUGACGGAGCAACGCCGCGUGAGUGAUGAAGGUCUUCGGAUCGUAAAACUCUGUUAUUAGGGAAGAACAAAUGUGUAAGUAACUAUGCACGUCUUGACGGUACCUAAUCAGAAAGCCACGGCUAACUACGUG
rnacentral:rRNA from 1 species